UUUUCAAAGUUGGGAGUACAGCCUUCCCAUAGUUUUAUUGUGUGUUUACGCACGUUCCUGUAAUUUGGGAAUGGAUCGGGUUGCUUCCCACCUUUUACCACAAUUUGAGGGGAUUAAGCCUAGGAGUAGCCUGCCAAAGCAAAUUAAAUAAUUCAUGUUUCCAGCAUGACUUCAUUUAGUUGUGACUUUUAUUUAUUUAGAGAGAGUGAGAGAGAAAGAGCUGGUGUUGUUACAAUCUCAGUACUAUUUUUUUAAUCUCUGUAACCUCCUAUAACCCAACCAUGUAUUUUUUUUUUGACCUUUGAAAUGUACCACACUGCAUAAACUGAGUAUCCACUGUGUGUUCUGCUCAUCCCAGUAAUUUUCAUCCUAUGGUCUCUGCACGCUGUUAUUUUAGGUGUAUCUUUUAACAUUAUGCAAGUUAACAAGUUUGUAAAACAUUACCCCAAAUGCUGAGGGCACAUAGAGGGGGAAGAAGUACCAAAUCUUUUUUUCUUAUGUGUUGAGAAGCUCUGUAACUGAAAACCCUGACAAGUUAAAUGUUAGUAGGUGGGGACUUAUAGCCUAAAACUGGUGCCUAUAGAUGCUCACCUGUGGAAAGGGACUCCUGCAGCUGUGCUCAAUGUUCUUCCAGCUGCAGCUGAAUUUCUGCCACAUUAAGAGCCUUAAGCAGCUGCAGCAGUAUCACACUGAUCUAGCAUUUAGCUUCCCCAAAGCUCUGCUCAAAUAUUUGAACUCAGUAGAACCCCGUGCUUUGAGUAGGCGAGUGUCACUACAGCUUUACAGAAAAAGAAACAGCGACUGAGAGGUUAAACCAGCUUCCCCUUACCACACAGCAAGUCAAUGGUGGAGCUGGAAUUACAGCUUGGGAGGUUCCUGGCUCUUGCUGCACUACAAUGCUGUGUAGAAAGGUCAUUUCCCAAAAUAGUACUGAAAGUUCCCAUUUGUUAUUGAUAAUAGGGCAACAAAGGGCUCUAGCUGUAUUAAUAGGUCACUGUAUAAUGUCCUUAAUAAUCCAUAAUUAGCAACCCUGCAAAAAUGGCAGCAUUGCAUUUUUCUGAGGCGGUAUCACUUCCACAGUUAGUUUUGUCUACUCUCAGUAGGUAUUUUUAUUUUGUCUCUUCUAAAACCACUUUAUUUAAAGGAAACAGACACAUUCACAAAGUAGGCGUUAAAUAGCCUCCCUGUUAACUGUCAUGUUGGACCUCAUAUUGGACUCACCUUCAGAUCUGUUCAGCUCCUCUUCCUCUGUGAGUACGUGCUUGUCAUGGCACUGAAGUUUGACAGUCACUUUGAAGCUAUCAAGCAGACUUCUGUCUGCCUAGAAGAAAAAUACGGGCUGUUGGAGAAGGCUGUAUAUUACCUUCCAUACCUUCUGUAUACUACCUUCUUCUAGGAGGCUGAUAAUAGAGGGGUUUGGUGGCAACAUUUUCCCUGUGUUGUGUGACAGCAAGCUAGCACUGGCAUACUUGGGCAGUGUAGCAGCUGAGGUGCAAGCAUGGGAGCCCACAAAGGCACCAGGUUGGGUGUUCCCCAAGGCUUCCAGGAAGGAAGGCAAACCCCCAUCACCACACAGCAGGACAGGGGACAGGAAGAAGAGACGUCUUCAGUAAGUCCACUUCCACGACUGGGCCUGUGAAGAGAAGAUUGGAAGGAUUUAGCAGUCUCUCUGUAGAAGCAGGAUAAUUGAUUUGAACUUGUUAUGACACUGCAACUUGUGAUGACUCUUGGGCUGCCCUCUGCAAGAACAGAGCAGGAGGAGGCAAGGCACCUUCCCAGAAGAGCAACAGCACAAAGUUUGCAGUUCCAAUGAAAUGAUGUCUGAGAAGUGCUGGUAAAGAAGCGCAAGAGGAAAGAGCGUCUCUGUGUGAACACAGUCAACUUACCAUUCUAAUGUCAGCGCUGUAGAAGCCUUCCCUUCACAUAAGCAGUCACCAGCAAAACGAGGACCAGUGGAUUCAGCACACGAGCAGUAACAGCACUGCAUUCACUACCAGACAAAAUUACAGAAAACGCAUUCAAAGCCUGAAGAAUGAAAAAGAGAAAAAUGCAUUCCUCAUAUCGUGGCCGGAUUUACUGCACAGAAGCUCCGAGGGAAACCACCUAUUUCUACUUGCCUCACCCUCUGGAGAGCUCUGUCUGCAGCCUGGACACUGAAGCCCUGUGUCCACGUGGUGGUCCAGAAAUCUUCCCAAAACACAGAGUACCUGACCUGGCCAGUGACCUGAGCAUCGGUGUCCACAUCAUCAAAGAUGCAUUUUACUGCUUUGGAGCCUUCCACCUACGUGUUCAUCUAUCACCUCUGGCAAGCACACAGUAUUUAAAAAUCAAGAACUUCUUUUGUGCAAUAUGUAAUUAAGGCUUUGCUGGAAGCUUGUUUGCCGAAAGCCUGAGAAGGGCUUGCAAGCUCAAAAGUAUAUUGAGUGUAUGAAAUUGCAGUGCUCCAGAUACUAUAUAUCUUACUCCCUUCCCAACUUACUUUCACAAAGGUUUUAUUUGUGGCACCAGAACUCUUAUUUCUAGUAAGUCAGUUAAAAUAAAUGGUGGAAUCCUUCCAGAUACUGAAGUUCUUAAGUAAGAUAUGUCUUGCUAGUUAUCUAAGGGAUCUGUGAUCCUUAGUGGUCCUGCAGUCUUCAUUUGUCACUGCCAGCAUCACAGCAACCUGUCUGGUCUUAUUUUGGGAUUUAUCUUUUACUGUGAGCAGACUCAUCCACUAUUAGCCAGUGAUAAGCAACAGCUUUUUGGCAUAAAAACAAAAAUCUGUGCUCCCCAUAAAAAUAAAUAAGAAAAAUGUAUAUAAAUAAAAACAAGGUUCAGCUGAAAUUCCAAGCUGUUUUGCCUGACACCUUUGUGGGCUUUCUUUUAAUGACUUUUUGUAGCUAGUAAAGGCAGCAAGUGCUGCAAUACCAGUUCAGGGGCAUCUGUUCAGACAAACCCAAGUCCUCUUGCUUGUGUUCUGGCUGGCCAGAGGUGAGCCUGCACAGCCUGGGAGCUGUGUAGUGCUGGCAGCAGGGCCCUGUGCCCAAGAUACCGAGUUUGAAGCAUGAACAAAGGAAGGGCCUAUGUAACCCUGCAUCAGAUAGGAGAAGUUAUUUUGGGAGUUUUUAAUAACAACAGCAAUGCUCAAUAAUAAUAAUAAAAAAAAUUUACUACCCAAAUAUACAAACUGUAAUUCCACUUGCAAGGGAACUUGUACUUUUUAUUUCAUAAAUCUUGAAAACCUGCACACAAUCUGUCUGAAUGACACACACAAAAAAAAAAAACUGCACAGAGGAAGCACAAAACACCUCAUUGCUAAAUAAAACAACUUUACCAACUAAGUUACAGGCUCUUAUUUACUUAUUUUUUCUUAAUUUCUUCAGAACUAAUUAACAUUACUAUACAAUAUGGCAAAAGAUAGUCAAUGUUAUGGUACUUUAAAAUCAUUGAUAUGGGAUAAAAUAGAAACCAAAUGACUUUAUGUAUUAGAAGUGUAGUGCUUAAGUUGCUCUUUCUGAAGCCAUCGAGCAACAAAACUUGGAAGUAUUUCAAUAAAGAGUUUGCAUAACCCACAAAAAGAAACAUUAAUAUCAUGCAUUGAGUUAUUCCAAAUGCACGAUGAUAGGCGACAACACUUGAGAAGAUCACUGAGAACUGAUAAAGACGCUGUUUUUUGUGGCAAAAAAAAAAGAAAAAUCGAAAGAUUAAAAAGAAUAAAACCCAUGUUAUGACAAAGAUAAGGUAGGGGUACCCUGACUUCAAAGCACAUGUCCACUUCCCACCCUUGUUUCAAAAUCAACUCCUCUUACAACUUCACUUAUGAAACAGAGAGCUUCUGAUCAAACACUGAGGUUUGGGAUAAUCUUCAGCUGCAUUAUCAAGGUUUCAGAUUUGCUUUUACUUUAAACUCAAAACUUUAGAAACAACCAAGAAAACAGAAAUUUCCUUCCCAGGUCAAAACUUAAAUCAGUCUGUUUGUAAAUUCUGUGAAAGACAGCUGGAGUUGCAGAUUUUUAAUAAAUCCUAAAGCUGCAAUAAUUUCCCAGGCAUUUCUUGAAACACAUUAUUUUGCAAAAAUAAGGCCUUGAGCUGUAACAUUUCUGACCAGAAAGUAGUGGUCAUGGAAGAGUCCGUCUCUCUCACUGCACAGGCUCCAGCAGUUCCUUUAUCAUUCACAGUUACCACAGUGAAGAAAGUCAGCUUGAUUUCAUAACUCUACAUGAGAUAAUGCAAUAUGGUCCACAUGGAAACUGGUUUAUUUCUUAGACAGAGUUGAGACAUUGCAAGAAAGGGAAAGAAAUUAGCAGCAAAUUCCCCCAAAUUGUGUUUUUGAAAGCUUGUCUGCUCAUUGUCAACCAAUAGAGCUAUUAGUCCCCUGAGUAGCAAAAAGCUCCAUCAACAUAACUUUUUCUUAUUUAGAAAUAAUAGCUAUUAUAAAUAAAAGUUAAAUUUUGUAGCUAUUAUCAGAGAAAAAUUUUAUCAUGUGCUCCCUGUUGUCCUAUGCUUUAUUUUAAUAGAAUACUACAACAUCCCCCUGAAACUCUUCAUGAUAGCUGCAAGAUGCACUACAAUGAAUUUGCAUAAGCCCCCCUCCAAUUCACUCUGAAGCAGGUGGCCCUCACAUUUAGCUCCUCCAUUUACACCAUUUGUAACAUUUAUUUUGGGUGCUACGAUAGUGAAUACAAAUGAACUUAUGAAAGUAUAAUUUGCUCCUAUUGCCUAUUAUUUUUUAAACACAGUUGAUUAAUGUCUGUAUUGCCAAUUGGUUUCUACCCUUUGUGUUUCUUUCCUACAAUUCUGUUUAAGACACACUUUCUAAGAAACACUUUUAGACAUGAUUCAGUGACUGCCGUGCGUAUUUAGGACUGUUAUCCUAUGUGUAUAAAUUACUUUUUGUCACUCUGCCAAUUUCUACUUGCAAGUCCACCUGAAGUGGGGGCUUUUCUUCCACAGAGAGGAAGUAAUAACACAUUUAGGGCACUUUGCAGAGUCUAACACUUGUACUCCAUCCAGGAUUCAGAUACAAAUAAAGACAAAUUGGCCUUUUGAUUACAUUUUUCUUUUCGGCUCCCUGCAUCCUUUCUAGAGGAGUAAGGAGUUGUUUAGUAGGGGAAUUGUAAGCUGGUGACCAGAAAUACCAGUGGGGAGGAUGCAAAAAAAACCCACCAAACUCAAGCACAGGCUGAGUACCUCUUCCUGACCUGACUAAAUUAAGAUUCAAAACUCGAUGAAAGUAACUGCAAACAUCCAGCAAAAGGCACCUUGCUGCAUUUUCAGCGAGUUGCCAGGGGAGAGGUGCCACCCUGCACAGUACCUGGUUGCAGCUGUAGAAGAAAAACAAUUCUUGUGCUUUUCUUGCAAAUUUCACGAGCGAUAAGCAAUGAAUCUGCUAUUUCCUUGAAGCCCUUAACUCACUCUUCUUUAAGAGGAGAUUCACCUCUUCCCUCUCUUCCAUAAACAUGUAUCCCUCCUUCCUCCUGCACUGCAGGCUGCAUCCGCAGGGCACCGGGGCAGUCGGCAUUGACCAUGGCCCCAACAGGGCUGGACUAGAACAUCCAUGGACCAGCAGGGAAAUUUGCACCCUGAUUGAAACAGAGCUGUAGAAGAAAAAAGCCUCUUCUCUUGCUUUGAUAUUUUUUUCAACAAUGGUCUUAUUUUUUUUUAAGCUGUUCCAAUAGCCUGAUGAAUUUUGCAUUUAAUUUCCUCCUAGGCAGACAAAUAUCGUAGAAGACAACCUUGUACAAAAUGAGAUAGGUGAGGACUGGAGAGUCCCAAGGUAACUCUGAAAAGGAACGCCACAGAAUGAUGUGUUCCUAUUCCUCUUGCAGAGCGAGAAAAGUCAUUUUAAAACCUCAAUUUCUAUUUCAUGUUGGGCUUGCAUCUGGAAAAGUUUCCUAUUUGGUCUGUUUUACAAAAUAUUCUGCUAUUAAGACAGACAAAAGAGGACAUGAGACUCCAUAUGGGUUUGAAUAACAUGCAGAGCCUAAAACCCAGCAUGCUGAGCAUUUAUAAGCCAAAAGCCCCAUCUAUCAAGUCUCUUUCAGAAGGUUAUUUAAUCACCAUUACAGCUUUGCUACUGAAUUUCUAUCACAGAAUUGGAUCUGGAGGGGACCUCAGGAAGCCACUUUUUCCUCGCCCAAAGGCACACCUGCUACACACGAAGCAUACCUACCAGUCCUUACAAGUGCUUUUCUAACAUAAAAAAAAAAAACUCAAAAAACAAUUUAACAAUUUAAAAACAUUAAAAAAAAAAAAGCUCCUUUUUUGUGGUGCUCACCAUUCACCCAAGCAUGGAAUUUCGACCUCACUGACAUAACCACUGUUUUCCGGACUAUUUCUUCACUUCCUCAAGACAAGA